UCCAUUUCGACGGGAAUCGUCCCGACUC
rnacentral:sRNA from 1 species